rnacentral:tRNA from 1 species
GGCGGCGUAGCCAAGUGGUAAGGCAAGGGACUGCAAAUCCCUGACUCACCGGUUCGAAUCCGGUCGCCGCCU